UUUCUCUUCUUCUUCUCUCUAUACGUUGGUGUUCUAACCAAUAAUCACCGAUGCGAUGUUCUGUCCGAUCGAUUCAGGAACCAUCUAACGAAUGCCGAAGUGCUGUGCUUUGUGAAUUUCGUUAACCGGAAUCCAAAGUACUAUACUUUGUGAGUUCAUUAAAUGGAUACCAAAGUACUGUCUGAAUAAGACUAUACUUUGUGAAAUUCGUUAAGGUUCGAAUCUCGUGACUACCGUUAAGGUUUGAUUUGGGUUUUACACAAAUACGUAUUCCAUUCUGUUAAACUAUAUGUUUAACUACCAAAAAUACUCCCAACUACACACUCACAAUCAAACAAACUAUUAAAUCAUCAGAAGAUCCAGAAUAAUAAAGUGCAUGCUUAAUUAUCGGAAGAACUAGAAUCAAGAAGCUUGUUAACUCAAUCUUGCAUGCUUAUAAAGUAAUUACAGUAGAUCGGAAUAAGAAUUGGAUCCAGCACUGAAGGACUUCAAGAAGUGGCUUAUUUUAUUAAUUAAAUCAACUUAAGAAAUAUUGUUUUUGGGUUUAUCCCGUAUUAAAAGCUCUCUUUGUAAAACAUGGAAUUUAUUCCAUCUAUUUAAAUAAAAUCCGGUGUUCCUAAACUCUGAUAUUUUUCCUAACUCACGGUCCUGAUGAAAUUUCCGCUGCAAUGUUUUUCAAAAUAAUCAUCGGUACCACUUGAGUUCUCGCGGCUUCCGAUUCCGGCCAGGAUGGGGUCGGGGGUUAUGACACCGAACGCAAUACGUAUAUAAAAUUUUCAGACAAAAAAAACAUAAAUUUAUACUACUGAAAAAGUGUGGCGUGUGGGGGGGGGGGGGUUGUAAGGCGAUGCAUUUGUAUAAAUAAGAAAAAAAAGUCAAACCAAUUAUUGGUCCCUUCUUUAUUCCAUGGACUUCUCAAUUUAUUCCAUGGACUUCUCAAUGAAAGUAAUUAAAGCAUCUUUUUGAAAACAAACACUAAAUAGGGUUGAAACAACAUACGCUACAAACCACAAUCACAAAAGUUAAAGAAUGAAUUUUUGAGUCUCUAAGUUUUAUGGGUUUUCAUUAGUUGAGUCCAAAAUCAAAAAGUUUAACAACCUGAGUCCUCAUAAGCAUUUUCUUUAAUCAUUUGAGUCCAAAUUUCUAAUACUAUUAGAAUUUUUUUGUUAAGUAUUGUUAAAUGACUAAAAUAUCCUUAUAGUUAAAAAAAUAAAAUAAUAAAUGCCCCUAUAUUAAA
rnacentral:lncRNA from 1 species